UACGAAGGGGGGCUAGCGUUGCUCGGAAUCACUGGGCGUAAAGGGCGUGUAGGCGGGCAGGUAGGUCGGGCGUGAAAUCCCUGAGCUCAACUCAGGAACUGCACUCGAAACUACUUGUCUUGAGUACCGGAGAGGAAAGCGGAAUUCCAGGUGUAGCGGUGAAAUGCGUAGAUAUCUGGAGGAACACCGGUGGCGAAGGCGGCAUCCUGGACCAAUUCUGACGCUGAGGAGCGAAAGCCAGGGGAGCAAACGGG
rnacentral:rRNA from 1 species